CAGCAGCCGCCGCGGGAAUACGGAGGGGGCUAGCGUUGUUCGGAAUUACUGGGCGUAAAGCGCACGUAGGCGGCUUGGUAAGUUAGAGGUGAAAGCCUGGAGCUCAACUCCAGAAUUGCCUUUAAGACUGCCGAGCUAGCAGGUGAGAGAGGUAAGUGGAAUUCCGAGUGUAGAGGUGAAAUUCGUAGAUAUUCGGAAGAACACCAGUGGCGAAGGCGGCUUACUGGCUCAUACUGGACGCUGAGGUGCGAAAGCGUGGGGAGCAAACAGGAUUAGAUACCCCCGUAGUCCCUGUCUCUUAUAC
rnacentral:rRNA from 1 species